rnacentral:rRNA from 1 species
GGAAGGAUCAUUAUCGAAUGAAUUUGAACAGGCUGUUGCUGGCUCUCUCUCUUGAGCAAUAUGUGCACGCUUGUCAUCUUUAUUUUUCCAACUGUGCACACAUUGUAGAUCAUGGUGGUAUUAUUAUUAUCUUGCUUGCAAAUAGAUUGAGGAUUUGCUAUGUCUGGCUUUCCUUGUCAUCAGGUCUAUGUUUAUUUUUCACAAUCUCUGAAAUGGUAUUAGAAUGUGGGCAAAAAACAUAAUAUACAACUUUCAGCAACGGAUCUCUUGGCUCUCGCAUCGAUGAAGAACGCAGCGAAAUGCGAUAAGUAAUGUGAAUUGCAGAAUUCAGUGAAUCAUCGAAUCUUUGAACGCAUCUUGCGCUCCUUGGUAUUCUGAGGAGCAUGCCUGUUUGAGUGUCAUCAAGUUCUCAAACUGCAUCAUCCUUUGGGAGGGGGUGUGGAUUUGGAUUAUGGAGUUUGCAGGCUUUUUUGAUUGAGGUCUGCUCCUCUGAAAUGUAUUAGUGGCAAUGUGGAAAAGCUACUGUGGGUGUGAUAACUAUC